UAUCGGAGUUCUGGGAUCGAGGUAAAAUAAACUUCCCGCGUCAAUCAGUCUGAGAGAUCGGUCGCGUCUCGCCGCCUCGCCUUGGCUUCGUUCUUUCGCGAGGGAACGAGUUAAUCCUUCCUUCUGAGCCCGAUUGCCUCCACACACCACAAAGCCUUGAGGAGUUAGCUGCCUGUUCCACUCCUGGGCCUUUCCCAACAUCACCUGCUAGAAAAUGAUUUCUUCCUGCAACCCCCACCCGAGCUGAAAUGUCCACCGCCAUUAUUUGCAUGGUUGCUUGGAGGUCAGUUCCGAAGGAGGCCGAAGAUUCCUGAGAAGAACGCUUAGAAGGCGAAGAUUCCACAAGAGAACGCGAAGAGCUCAACAUUCCAAAAGAGAACACCGGAGAGUUCCAGAUUCCAGAAGGGUCACCUCGGUGAGAGGGCAACGAGAGAGAAAGUGGCCGACGCGAUCGGGAACAGGGCUUCAGUCCACUGUUCUUUUGAGAUCUCGGAGCCCUCAAGACGGGGAUGGUGGUGUCUCUGAGUGGACCCGGCGUGCCUCCCUCAGCAUUUGCCCCACAUUAGGAAGACGCCGUCCCCCAGUGCCCCGCUGCCAAAACUCCCCGAGGGCCAGCGAGUGCCUUAGAAACACUCUCUCUCUUGCCCCUCCUCACCCCCACCUCGCUUUCCCUUUCUCCUCCAGCCCAAGGUAUUCCUGAAAGGUCACCCCUUCCCUUUUCAAAGAGUGAUAUUAUUAAUUCGCUGACAAUUUCCCUCUUUUUCCUCCCCCGCUCCAAGCUGCUUCUCCUUUUCCUCCCCUCCUCACCCAUAAGGGAAAUGGGGGAGGGGGGAGGGAGAGAAAAGGGGAAAUCGUGAAAAGCCCCCCUUUUUUUGUCCUACAGUGGGAGCGUUUAGACUGUCGAGGGUUUUUUUGUGCAAGAACAAAACCAAGGGUUGGGAGGUUUUGUGAGGGUGUUGUUUGUUGAAGUGGAGCUAAGAGAAAGCGGCGGCUUUCUCCUCUUUGUAAGGAAACCAAUCAGUGGUAUUUGGAAAACUGUUAGCAUUGUGCAUUUCUUCUGUGGCCAUUGUGAGGCAGUUCUUUUCACAAGGCUGCUUCUUCUUCUUUGCUUUCUUUCUCUUUCUUUCUUCUGCUUCUUCUCGAUUUUUUUUUUUUUAGCCGAUCCAGCUGGCCAGACUGAAUAGCGGUGCAAUUGUGUACACGCUUUGUCCCUCCGGCCCUUCAAGUAGCCCCCUUUUGAAUAGACUAAGUUGACACUGCAUGACAGAGAAACAACAUAAUAAAAAAUACAUGAGCCCCUGAAUGGGAACAGGCGCAUAAAUAAAUAAAAUGGGUGACCAAAACUGGAUAAACUGAAUGACAAAACGGUGAAAAGGGAACAAAAAGAUAUUUAACACGCUAGAUUAGCAUUAGAAUGCAAUCUACAAGACUGAACAAUUGAUGAAUAGGGUUACCGGCCAAGAAAGAAAGAAACUAAAUGCCCUUUGAAUGGAUUUUUUUCGGGAGGGGGAGGAAGACGCGAGGGCAUUGAAUAGAUAUGCUUCUUGCAAGACUGAAUGAGAAAAGGUAAAAACGAAGCUAUGCAAAUUAGUGGAUAAUGUGUGCGUAUACACAGUCACAGAUAUAUACAUGCAUACAGGUACAUAUCUGUGCAUAUGUAUAUGUGCGAGUGUCUAUUUGACAUACGUUCACACAGUACAUCUACAUAUGCAGAUCUAUAUAUGUGUGUAUCCAUGCAUAUAUCUUUGCAUGCACAUAUGCACACAAACACAUUUAGCAGUGCCAUAUAGUUAUACCAAUUAAAUUACUUAGUAUAAAUAGUAAUAUAAUUAUAUGCACAAUUUGCUAUAAACAUACACGUUACAAUGUUGUUGGGUACACUAUCGCAGGAAUGAAUAAUACGUAUGCACGUAUGUGUUUAACAUACACACAUCUAUGCAUAUUAUGUUUAAUUGAAGUUUUUUUUUCCAGUUUCUCGUGUGUCGUGUGUGUGUGUGAGAGAGAAAGAGAGAUUCUUCUAAUUUAAGAUCUUUAUUCCAACAAUAUCCGAGCUUCUUUGUGUUGUUUUGGAACGAAAAUCAAAUAAAUUGAUAAUAACAAUUUCUAACCCCUGGUUAGUUGAUAAACAGGAGACUCUUUAUCACUCCGCUCUAAGCUAUCCCGGAUCAGGCAAAACCAGACAGAAAAGUUCCCGCGAACUAAUAUUAAAUCGCGCCACUCCUGAAAUUCAGGAGCGAACCCUUGCGGUUGUUGCCUGCGCGCAAAUCACUGGUCUCUGGUUCAGUUUUAAUGUUUUUAAAGUAGGGGCGUGGGAGUGGAUGGUCUUCCGUAAGCGUCUCUGCUUCAGAAUAUGAGAUGAUGGGAAAGUUAAAGGAACUUUUAGGAAAAUGUAGCUAAGGAGAAUUAGUCAGGACCCCGAAAUGGUUGUAAAGAGGUGGGUUUUUUGGCCGGGGGGCAGACGGGAUGAGGCAAAACCCUGCAGCCACUGAUCUAGUGCCUGCAGACACACACGUGUGGGAAAGCAGUCCCACAGGGGGCGCCUCCUUCGCCUUCUGUGGUCCGUAGAAAUGAUGAACGAGGGAAAGGAGAAAACGUCCGUCGCGCAUCAAAAGGCAUCGCUCCUCACUUGAGUCCCUUUGUGGCCUGUAGACUCUGUGGGCUGCUCUGCGUGUGGUGUGCUUUCUUGAGUUUGUGUUGCGGGAAGAGGUUAGGGAACUGGACCUUCGGCCUUUUCGCUCCCUCCAAUGCUGUCACUUCCCCAGUUAUCCUCACGCCUGCCCGCGCCCCCGACUUAAACACCCUUUUAGAAAAGGUUUUAUAUCCCCCAAAGGAAAAGUUUCGCUGAAUGCUUCUUGAAAGGCAUGUCAAGGAAAUAAUUUAUUUCUAAUAUAUCAGUUGCACUUUUUAAAAUAUAACAGGUGUGGGUGUGAUGUGUGCAUCGUAUGUAAGAGGAAGAAACGACCCGUUUCAAAUGUGCUUUUUUCUUUUUCAAUAUUUCACCACUGCGAGAGGGAAGGAGGAUUGCUUUGAACCUGAAUGUGAAACCUCCUUCAAGUAUAUAUGCCGCAUUUCCCUGGAGGAGACCCUCACUCUUUCGGGGCUGUAAAAGAGAGAGAGAAAACAUUCCAGGGAAGCCUGUCUUUGUGUCUAUUAAAACGAUCGGAUUCAUCCAACAAGAAGUUUGGCUUCAUCAGAGUUUUGUUGGAUUUCUCAUAUUGUGCAACUUCAUACACAGAAUUAACAGACCAUCAU